CGCUGUUGGAUUUGAAUCCGCAAUACUCUUGAAGAUUCUUCCAAACGCGAAUAUUCUUGCUGUCGGAGCCGGUGUAUAAUAAGUCGCCAGAAGCUGCUAAUGAAUAUAUGUGACCUUCUUCGCGAACCAGAGAACCGAUUAUUGAGUUUUGUGGAACGGCUUCUUCGCAUUCUGACCAUUGCGGUUUCGAGAAUGGAGAACUUUUUGAUUGAUUCCAUGGUGACAUCAUCAUUGCAUGUUGAAGAGCUGUUUGUGAACUAAACAGUUCUAUAAUGGAGUGCACCAUGUACCCUUAAUAUAGAUGAGACAAAAAAUAGAAUGAGUAAAGAAAGAAAAUGAAGAGAAGAGACCUUCCGGAGUCAUAGUUGUAAGGGCUCAUGGGGGAGGCGGCGCUGCUGCUACGCAUCGUGUCGGUUAAAGCAUCUGUCGUGGAAAGUCUAGGUUCUGAUUGCAUGAACUGAGGACGAGGAAUAUUGGUGUUGUUGUUGUUGUUUUUGUUGCCAUUGUUUUUGUUCUUGUUGUCGCUGAACAUGAUGUCUCCUUUUGUCUCUUCUCUCACUAUCAUUCACGGUGUUUGUUUGUUCCUCAUUCACCGAUUCAGACACCAGGAGCAGCGCAACCAAUGGAAAAUGCAAACAAAGAAAAUGAAGAAGACUUUGAUUAAUUAAUUGAUUGGGCAAAAAGUAAUGGGAGGAAGGUAAGUUGUGAGAAGAGAGAGAGCGUAUAAAAUUGUAUAAAUAUGGUGUGGAAAUGAAUGGUAAACAAAUCUUGUGUGG